rnacentral:snoRNA from 1 species
CCCCUCUCAGGGUCUCACCUGGAGAGUUUCCAGUACUCUACCAGUCAUGAUUACAGAAGGGAGAGUCAAGCAGAAGCCUAUCCAUUCCAUUCCUUGCUUGGGCAGUGGCUAGUGAGUGGAAGGCAAUCUGCUACAAGU